AUUGAACGCUGGCGGCAGGCCUAACACAUGCAAGUCGAACGAGUGGCGGACGGGUGAGUAAUGUCUGGGACACUGCCUGAUGGAGGGGGAUCACUACUGGAAACGGUAGCUAAUACCGCAUACCAUCGGAUGUGCCCAGAUGGGAUUAGCUAGUGGGUGGGGUAAAGGCUUACCUAGACGACGAUCCCUAGCUGGUCUGAGAGGAGGACAAGGCACACGGGAACUGAGAAACGGACCAGACUCCGACGGGAGGCAGGAGUGGGGAAUAUUGCACAAUGGGCGCAAGCCUGAUGCAGCCAUGCCGCGUGUAUGAAGAAGGCCUUCGGGUUGUAAAGUACUUUCAGCGGGGAGGCGUUAACCGCAGAAGAAGCACCGGCUAACUCCGUGCCAGCAGCCGCGGUAAUUC
rnacentral:rRNA from 1 species